UACAGAGGUCUCAAGCGUUGUUCGGAUUCAUUGGGCGUAAAGGGCGCGUAGGCGGCGGGGUAAGUCGGGUGUGAAAUCUCAGAGCUCAACUCUGAAACUGCACUCGAUACUGCUUUGCUUGAGGACUGGAGAGGAGACUGGAAUUUACGGUGUAGCGGUGAAAUGCGUAGAUAUCGUAAGGAAGACCAGUGGCGAAGGCGGGUCUCUGGACAGUUCCUGACGCUGAGGCACGAAGGCCAGGGGAGCAAACGGG
rnacentral:rRNA from 1 species